CACCGCGGUUAUACGAGAGGCCCAAGUUGAUCAACACCGGCGUAAAGAGUGGUUAAGUUAAACCUCACAUUAAAGUCAAACAUCUUCAAGGCUGUUAUACGCAACCGAAGGCAGGAAGUUCAACCACGAAAGUGGCUUUAUUUAUUCUGAAUCCACGAAAGCUAAGGAA
rnacentral:rRNA from 1 species